AAAAACACCCUCAGGCGUAGGAGAUUUCUUAGCCGUAAUGCUGAGCUGUAAUGAGGAGUAGUGAAACCGGGAAGACUUCUCAUUGUAAGAAGUGGCAUGUCUAUUUUUUUUGCAACUGCACGUUGAGAUUUAUUAUAUCA